AACGAACGCUGGCGGCAUGCCUAACACAUGCAAGUCGAACGAGACCUUCGGGUCUAGUGGCGCACGGGUGCGUAACACGUGGGAAUUUGCCUCGGGGUAUGGAAUAACUCAGGGAAACUUGAGCUAAUACCAUAUAAUGUCUUCGGACCAAAGAUUUAUCGCCCUGAGAUAAGCCCGCGUAGGAUUAGCUAGUUGGUGAGGUAAAGGCUCACCAAGGCGACGAUCCUUAGCUGGUCUGAGAGGAUGAUCAGCCACACUGGGACUGAGACACGGCCCAGACUCCUACGGGAGGCAGCAGUGGGGAAUAUUGGACAAUGGGCGAAAGCCUGAUCCAGCAAUGCCGCGUGAGUGAUGAAGGCCUUAGGGUUGUAAGCUCUUUUACCAGGGAUGAUAAUGACAGUACCUGGAGAAUAAGCUCCGGNUAACUCCGUGCCNGCAGCCGCGGUAAUGUGACUACUG
rnacentral:rRNA from 1 species